AUUUUCCUUGAUGUUUUGAAAUGAUAACGGUGACAAAAAUGGCGGUGUAGCAGAAGAUAAAAGCAGACGACACGUCAACCGGGCAGCGGGUUAGGUUAGCUCUCAAACUUAUUAUACAAUGUGUAGCACUCACAUUCAAAUAAGGAUUCAAAAGUAUAGUAAAAGGAUUUUAUAAAUUAUAAAAAUUAAUAACAAUGCUUCAAGAAAAUAUAGAAUCUUUUAAUGAAUAUCAUACCAGAAAUAUUUUUCUGACUUCUAUGAUUUCUGGAGCAUUUGCAGGAACGAUAUGCGACUUAGUAUUUUUUCCAGUAGAUACUUUAAAAACUAGAUUACAAAGUCCUCAUGGCUUUAUGAAAUCAGGGGGAUUUACACGUCUUUAUCAGGGCAUUGUACCUGUUAUGAUAGGAACUGCACCAUCAUCUUCAAUUUUCUUUAUAACUUAUGAAAGCAUGAAAGAAUUUAUACAACCAAAUGUUCCCUAUAAGUAUCACUGGAUGGUGCAUAUGGGAGCUGCAACCACAGGUGAAAUGGGUGCCUGUUUAAUUAGAGUACCUGUUGAAGUAAUUAAGCAAAGAAAACAAGCUUUAUUGGGUGAUAAAAUAAGUUCCUUAGGUUUGAAAACUCUUUAUCGAGGAUAUGGUACAACAGUUCUUCGUGAUGUGCCAUUUGUUUUUACACAAAUGCCUUUAUGGGAGUAUUUUAAGCUACGCUAUAAGCAAUAUAUGAAACGAGAAUGCACGCCUUUCGAAGGUGCUAUUUGUGGAGCAGUCUCCGUCGCUAUUUCUUCGACGAUUACAACACCUUUAGACGUCGCAAAAACGAGAAUUAUGUUGGCUAGCACAAAUGCCGAUAAAGCCGAAGUCAAAAUUGCAAACAUGUUUCGACAAAUUUAUCGAGAAAAUGGAGUUAGAGGUUUGUUUGCGGGAUUUGUUCCGAGAGUAUGUGGUUACACUGUUGGAGCUAUUUUGUUUUUUGGAAUGUAUGAACAAGUUAAACAAAGCUGUCAAACAGUAUUUCCAUACACCACAUCGUCUCAAUGAAAAUUUUAUAUAUAGUAUUGAAAAUAAAUGAGGAAUUUAAGAACGAUUGUAAAUAUUUGUCAUAAUCGCUUAAUUUUCUUCUUCUAGUGAAUGAAAUUUGCAUUUUUAUAAAAAAAAAAAUCGGACUACAAAACUAAAAAAUUUAUAUUUAAGAUUGUAUGUUCCAAAUAUAUUUGUUAUAAAUUCCUCUACGGGUGAUUUUGUGGUUCCAUCAAUUUUUAAGGAAAUUCAGACUGUGAUUUGUAUAAAACAUUCAUAUUUUCUACGAUCGAUGAAUCUCGAUAUUUAUUAUUAUUUAUAUCCAUAUG